GGUUAAGCGACUAAGCGUACACGGUGGAUGCCCUGGCAGUCAGAGGCGAUGAAGGACGUGCUAAUCUGCGAAAAGCGUCGGUAAGGUGAUAUGAACCGUUAUAACCGGCGAUGUCCGAAUGGGGAAACCCAGUGCAAUUCGUUGCACUAUCGUUAACUGAAUACAUAGGUUAACGAGGCGAACCGGGGGAACUGAAACAUCUAAGUACCCCGAGGAAAAGAAAUCAACCGAGAUUCCCCCAGUAGCGGCGAGCGAACGGGGAGCAGCCCAGAGUCUGAAUCAGCUUGUGUGUUAGUGGAACGGUCUGGAAAGUCCGACGGUACAGGGUGAUAGUCCCGUACACCAAAAUGCACAGGCUGUGAACUCGAAGAGUAGGGCGGGACACGUGGUAUCCUGUCUGAAUAUGGGGGGACCAUCCUCCAAGGCUAAAUACUCCUGACUGACCGAUAGUGAACCAGUACCGUGAGGGAAAGGCGAAAAGAACCCCGGCGAGGGGAGUGAAAAAGAACCUGAAACCGUGUACGUACAAGCAGUGGGAGCACCUUCGGGUGUGACUGCGUACCUUUUGUAUAAUGGGUCAGCGACUUAUAUUCUGUAGCAAGGUUAACCGUAUAGGGGAGCCGCAGGGAAACCGAGUCUUAACUGGGCGUUAAGUUGCAGGGUAUAGACCCGAAACCCGGUGAUCUAGCCAUGGGCAGGUUGAAGGUUGGGUAACACUAACUGGAGGACCGAACCGACUAAUGUUGAAAAAUUAGCGGAUGACUUGUGGCUGGGGGUGAAAGGCCAAUCAAACCGGGAGAUAGCUGGUUCUCCCCGAAAGCUAUUUAGGUAGCGCCUCGUGAACUCAUCUUCGGGGGUAGAGCACUGUUUCGGCUAGGGGGUCAUCCCGACUUACCAACCCGAUGCAAACUACGAAUACCGAAGAAUGUUAUCACGGGAGACACACGGCGGGUGCUAACGUCCGUCGUGAAGAGGGAAACAACCCAGACCGCCAGCUAAGGUCCCAAAGUCAUGGUUAAGUGGGAAACGAUGUGGGAAGGCACAGACAGCCAGGAUGUUGGCUUAGAAGCAGCCAUCAUUUAAAGAAAGCGUAAUAGCUCACUGGUCGAGUCGGCCUGCGCGGAAGAUGUAACGGGGCUAAACCAUGCACCGAAGCUGCGGCAGCGACACUAUGUGUUGUUGGGUAGGGGAGCGUUCUGUAAGCCUGUGAAGGUGACCUGUGAGGGUUGCUGGAGGUAUCAGAAGUGCGAAUGCUGACAUAAGUAACGAUAAAGCGGGUGAAAAGCCCGCUCGCCGGAAGACCAAGGGUUCCUGUCCAACGUUAAUCGGGGCAGGGUGAGUCGACCCCUAAGGCGAGGCCGAAAGGCGUAGUCGAUGGGAAACAGGUUAAUAUUCCUGUACUUGGUGUUACUGCGAAGGGGGGACGGAGAAGGCUAUGUUAGCCGGGCGACGGUUGUCCCGGUUUAAGCAUGUAGGCUGAUUGUCCAGGCAAAUCCGGAUAAUCAAGGCUGAGGUGUGAUGACGAGGCACUACGGUGCUGAAGUAACAAAUGCCCUGCUUCCAGGAAAAGCCUCUAAGCAUCAGGUAACAUCAAAUCGUACCCCAAACCGACACAGGUGGUCAGGUAGAGAAUACCAAGGCGCUUGAGAGAACUCGGGUGAAGGAACUAGGCAAAAUGGUGCCGUAACUUCGGGAGAAGGCACGCUGGUGUGUAGGUGAAGCCCCUGCGGGUGGAGCUGAGACCAGUCGAAGAUACCAGCUGGCUGCAACUGUUUAUUAAAAACACAGCACUGUGCAAACACGAAAGUGGACGUAUACGGUGUGACGCCUGCCCGGUGCCGGAAGGUUAAUUGAUGGGGUUAUCCGUAAGGAGAAGCUCUUGAUCGAAGCCCCGGUAAACGGCGGCCGUAACUAUAACGGUCCUAAGGUAGCGAAAUUCCUUGUCGGGUAAGUUCCGACCUGCACGAAUGGCGUAAUGAUGGCCAGGCUGUCUCCACCCGAGACUCAGUGAAAUUGAACUCGCUGUGAAGAUGCAGUGUACCCGCGGCAAGACGGAAAGACCCCGUGAACCUUUACUAUAGCUUGACACUGAACAUUGAGCCUUGAUGUGUAGGAUAGGUGGGAGGCUUUGAAGCGUGGACGCCAGUCUGCGUGGAGCCAACCUUGAAAUACCACCCUUUAAUGUUUGAUGUUCUAACGUUGGCCCCUUACCGGGGUUGCGGACAGUGUCUGGUGGGUAGUUUGACUGGGGCGGUCUCCUCCCAAAGCGUAACGGAGGAGCACGAAGGUUAGCUAAUCCUGGUCGGACAUCAGGAGGUUAGUGCAAUGGCAUAAGCUAGCUUGACUGCGAGCGUGACGGCGCGAGCAGGUGCGAAAGCAGGUCAUAGUGAUCCGGUGGUUCUGAAUGGAAGGGCCAUCGCUCAACGGAUAAAAGGUACUCCGGGGAUAACAGGCUGAUACCGCCCAAGAGUUCAUAUCGACGGCGGUGUUUGGCACCUCGAUGUCGGCUCAUCACAUCCUGGGGCUGAAGUAGGUCCCAAGGGUAUGGCUGUUCGCCAUUUAAAGUGGUACGCGAGCUGGGUUUAGAACGUCGUGAGACAGUUCGGUCCCUAUCUGCCGUGGGCGCUGGAGAAUUGAGGGGGGCUGCUCCUAGUACGAGAGGACCGGAGUGGACGCAUCACUGGUGUUCGGGUUGUCAUGCCAAUGGCACUGCCCGGUAGCUAAAUGCGGAAGAGAUAAGUGCUGAAAGCAUCUAAGCACGAAACUUGCCCCGAGAUGAGUUCUCCCUGAGACUUUAAGUCUCCUGAAGGAACGUUAAAGACGAUGACGUUGAUAGGCCGGGUGUGUAAGCGCAGCGAUGCGUUGAGCUAACCGGUACUAAUGAACCGUGAGGCUUAACCUU
rnacentral:rRNA from 1 species